GUUUGAUUCCUUCUGGAGGCUCCGAGGAAGAAUCCAUUCUAUGCUUUUCUCCAGCUUCUGGGGGCUACCGUUGUGACAGGAACAUCCAUAUUCCAUUUGAAAGCGAAAGUCCAGGAAACGUUUAGCAGGCAGCGCCUUGACCCUCUCAUCCAUCUCGGCUCUAUCACAGGACUCACUGUUCUAAGAAUUUGGAAUUCAGCCAGUUUCCAAGGCAUACCUUGGAGAUAUUACAGGUUAAGUUAC